rnacentral:ncRNA from 2 species
AAUAAAACUUUAAUAAUAACUCGUAUAAUCACGGGGAUAUGGCCCGAAAGUUUCUACCAAGCUGCCGUAAAUGGCUUGACUACGAGUGAUAGUUGAUUAUUU